UUGAAUUGAAGUCAAAAAGAGACAAAUUAUUGUUAAUAAUUUUAAUGAUUAAAAUCCUAUUCA
rnacentral:tRNA from 1 species